CGAUCUUAUUGGGCCUAAAGCGUCCGUAGCCGGCCGAGCGGGUCCGUCGGGAAAUCCGCGUGCUCAACGCGCGGGCGUCCGGCGGAAACCACUCGGCUUGGGGCCGGAGGACUCGAGGGGUACGUCCGGGAGUAGGAGUGAAAUCCCGUAAUCCUGGACGGACCGCCGAUGGCGAAAGCACCUCGAGAGGACGGACCCGACGGUGAGGGACGAAAGCCAGGUUCUCGAACCGGAUUAGAUACCCGGGUAGUCCUGGCCGUAAACGAUGUUCGCUAGGUGUGGCGUCGACUACGAGUCGGCGCUGUGCCGCAGGGAAGCCGCUAAGCGAACCGCCUGGGAAGUACGUCCGCAAGGAUGAAACCUUAAAGGAAUUGGCGGGGGAGCACUACAACCGGAGGAGCCUGCGCUUUAAUUGGACUCAACGCCGGAAAUCUUACCAGCUCCGACAGUAGCGAUGACGCUCAGUGUGAUGAGCUUGGUUGAGCUACUGAGAGGAGGUGCAUGGCCGCCGUCAGCUCGUACCGUGAGGCGUCCUGUUAAGUCAGGCAACGAGCGAGACCCGCACUCUUAAUUGCCAGCGACACCGCGAGGUGGUCGGGUACAUUAGGAGGACUGCCGUCGCCAAGACGGAGGAAGGAACGGGCAACGGUAGGUCAGUAUGCCCCGAAUGAGCUGGGCUACACGCGGGCUACAAUGGUCGAGACAAUGGGUUCCAACCUCGAGAGAGGACGGUAAUCUCCUAAACUCGGUCGUAGUUCGGAUUGAGGGUUGAACUCACCCUCAUGAAGCUGGAUUCGGUAGUAAUCGCGUGUCAC
rnacentral:rRNA from 1 species